rnacentral:tRNA from 1 species
GCGGGUUUAGUUCAGUGGUAGAACGCUAGCCUUCCAAGCUGGAUGUCGCGGGUUCGAGUCCCGCAACCCGC